CACCGGCAGCUCGAGUGGUGGCCAUUAUUAUUGGGCCUAAAGCGUUCGUAGCCGGCCUGAUAAGUCUCUGGUGAAAUCCCAUAGCUUAACUGUGGGAAUUGCUGGAGAUACUAUCAGGCUUGAGGUCGGGAGAGGUUAGGGGUACUCCCAGGGUAGGGGUGAAAUCCUAUAAUCCUGGGAGGACCACCUGUGGCGAAGGCGCCUAACUGGAACGAACCUGACGGUGAGUAACGAAAGCCAGGGGCGCGAACCGG
rnacentral:rRNA from 1 species